UACGGAGGGGGCUAGCGUUGUUCGGAAUUACUGGGCGUAAAGCGCGCGUAGGCGGCUUUGUAAGUUAGAGGUGAAAGCCCGGAGCUUAACUCCGGAACUGCCUUUAAGACUGCAUCGCUAGAAUCGUGGAGAGGUGAGUGGAAUUCCGAGUGUAGAGGUGAAAUUCGUAGAUAUUCGGAAGAACACCAGUGGCGAAGGCGGCUCACUGGACCGGUACUGACGCUGAGGUGCGAAAGCGUGGGGAGCAAACAGG
rnacentral:rRNA from 1 species